AUUGAACGCUGGCGGCAUGCCUUACACAUGCAAGUCGAACGGCAGCGGACCUUCGGGUGCCGGCGAGUGGCGAACGGGUGAGUAAUAUAUCGGAACGUACCUUUCAGUGGGGGAUAACGUAGCGAAAGUUACGCUAAUACCGCAUAUUCUGUGAGCAGGAAAGCAGGGGAUCGCAAGACCUUGCGCUGAUUGAGCGGCCGAUAUCAGAUUAGCUAGUUGGUGAGGUAAAGGCUCACCAAGGCGACGAUCUGUAGCGGGUCUGAGAGGAUGAUCCGCCACACUGGGACUGAGACACGGCCCAGACUCCUACGGGAGGCAGCAGUGGGGAAUUUUGGACAAUGGGCGCAAGCCUGAUCCAGCCAUGCCGCGUGCGGGACGAAGGCCUCGGUUGUAACCGCGUUUCAGCCGGAAGAAAUACGCCGUUUUUAAUUACUAGACGGUGGAUGACGGUACCGGAAGAAGAAGACACCGGCUAACUACGUAG
rnacentral:rRNA from 1 species